AUUGAACGCUGGCGGCAUGCUUUACACAUGCAAGUCGAACGGCAGCGCGGGCUUCGGCCUGGCCGCGCGUGGCGGACGGGUGAGUAAUGCAUCGGAACGUGACCAGUCGUGGGGGCUAGCCCGGCUAAAGCCGGAUUAAUCCCGCAUACGACCUGAGGGUGAAAGCGGGGGACCGAAAGGCCUCGCGCGAUUGGAGCGGCCGAUGUCGGAUUAGCUAGUUGGUGGGGUAAAGGCUUACCAAGGCGACGAUCCGUAGCUGGUCUGAGAGGACGACCAGCCACACUGGGACUGAGACACGGCCCAGACUCCUACGGGAGGCAGCAGUGGGGAAUUUUGGACAAUGGGGGCAACCCUGAUCCAGCCAUGCCGCGUGCGGGAAGAAGGCCUUCGGGUUGUAAACCGCUUUUGUUCGGGAAGAAAUCCUCUGGGCUAAUACCCCGGGGGGAUGACGGUACCGGAAGAAUAAGCACCGGCUAACUACGUG
rnacentral:rRNA from 1 species